rnacentral:rRNA from 1 species
CCUACGGUCGGCAGCAGUGAGGAAUAUUGGUCAAUGGACGAGAGUCUGACCCAGCCAAGUAGCGUGAAGGAUGACUGCCCUCUGGGUUGUAAACUUCUUUUAUAUGGGAAUAAAAAAGGGUAUGCAUACCCUCUUGUAUGUACCCUAUGAAUAAGGAUCGGCUAACUCCGUGCCAGCAACCGCCGUAAUACCGAGGAUCCGAGCGUUCUCCGGAUUUGUUGGGUUUAAAGGGAGCGGUAGUGGAUUGUUAAGUCAGUUGGGAAAGUUUAGGGCUUAACCGUAACAUAGCAGUUGAAACUGGCAGUCUUGAGUGCAGUAGAGGUAGGCGGAAUUCGUGGUGGAGCGGUGAAAUGCUUAGAUAUCACGAAGAACUCCGAUUGCGAAGGCAGCUCACUGGACUGCAACUGACACUGAUGCUCGAAAGUGUGGGUAUCAAACAGGAUUAGAUACUCGUGUAGUC